UCGUGGACCGCGGCGGCGGCGGCGGUGGCGGCGGCGGCAGUGGCUCCCCUCUGGGUGACUUGGCCGUGAGAAAGUGAAAGGAGCCCGCAGGCGGCGGCGACAGCUGCGCGGGGAGGGGCCUGCUUCCAGGCUGGAGACUAGCGAGCUCUGGGGGUGUGGAGCGAGCGAGUCCGCGUGCACCGCGACGGCCAUAAGUAUACUUUUACUCGGGGCAGGUGUCCCGGGGAGGCCGAGCGCGCGGGGCCGCAGCUGGCCAGGGCCAGCCUGGGGCCGCUGAGUCUGGCCCUCCUGCGGUGCACGCCGGCCCGGGCCGCGUCCUCGGGGACGCGCCGCCUCCGGCCUGCCGUGUCGGUCGCCAGGUGCAUGCGAGCUGCAAACUCCUAGGCGGCUGUGAGAGGCGCCUUUUCCCGGCGUCCUCAGUUAAGUUGCAGCUGCGUUUCUCUUCAGGAUCCCCGCGUCCCGUCUGUACCGUGAAAAGCAAAGACAUUGCCCCGAGACCGGUCUUAGACCUUUCCAGUGAGAUUGAUACUUGUAGACGCUUUAGCCUGUUCCUUAGUUGGUGCGUAAGGAGCCACGGCUUUGUAAGGAAGGCAGAGACAUGUGGCACCUCUCUCCCUUCAGAUAAACUUCCUCCCUACCUGUUCUUUGUGGCUAACCAGCAAAGAGGAAAUGUAGAAAAUUUCUGCUCUGGAUAUAAUGGAAGGCAAGAAUAACACACAAGUAAAAAGUUGAGUAACAAGCGGGGGAGAAAAUAAUUGAAGACAAUAAAACAGAAAACUGCAUAGCGAGGAACUCAACACACUAGUAAUUGUCUAAAUGAAAUGUGUUUACUCUUUGCUAUGUGAACCCUGACUGGCAAGCCUUGUUGCUAACCAACUCACCAGGAAACCGUGCAGCUGAGCAAAAUCUGCUUUCUCUUUCUUCCAAGUCAAAGGAGUAAAGAAGUUGAAAGUAAUUGUGUGGGCAAAUCAGACAUUGAAUUGCUAAUGCGCGCGCGCGCGCGCGCGCGCGCGCACACACACACACACACACACACACACACACACACACACACACACACACACACACACACAAACACAAAAACACAGUAUCCCAAUUGCUAAAACUGAUAUUGAUAUUCUGUUGGAAACAAUAAUGGUUUCUACUCUUAUCUCUUAAAUCCUCAUGAUGGAUUGGGGGCGGGAGGUGCUCAGGGCAGUCUUCAGAUUCAACCCGAAUCCCUUACCUCAUGCUUCCCAGAAGAAAGACCAAUUCUCAAUGUUACACCCUAGGGGCGUUUACAAGUGGUUUUUGUUGCUGUUUGGUUUGGCUUUUUGAGACAGGGUUUCUCCAUAGAUAGUCUGGCUGUUCUGGAACUCACUAUGUAGACUAAGCUGGCCUUGAACUUACAGAACUCACAGAGAUCUGCUAGUCUCUGUCUCUCAAGGGCUGAGAUUAGCCACCACACCGGGCUACCAGUAUUUAGAUGAAUGAAACACACGCACACACACACACACACACACACACACACACACACACACACACACACGGGGGGGGGAGAGAGAGAGAGAGAGAGAGAGAGAGAGAGAGCGUGCACAAAAAGGAAUCUAUGUUUUUUCAUGGAGAAUUCAAGAGGAUAAAAGGAAAAAGAUGUUUGUAUUCAUAAAGCCAAGCUUUACCAAUUAAAAGCUAACAAUAGGGAACUUACAAGGCUCUUGAUUAAUAGAUGUAAAGUAGCUGUUAAUGUCAGGAUAUCAAAUCGUAAAUUUGAAACAAAACUGGACAUUCAGAUUAUCCACCAAAACUUAGACUCCGUUUUAUGGCAUCCAGAACAAAAAUCACAGCUCUGACAACGGUUUUACACAGUGUACCUGCAAGUGGGGCUAACAGUUCCAGAGACAGCCAGAAGACACUGGUGGGUCGAAAGUCAUAAAUAUGGCUUGCUUUAUUUCAGGGCUGUUUUUCUUGUGAGCCGUAACUAGUAUCCAUUUUGAGAACAGAAAAAGUAUGUCCAGGAAAUACAAAUUAAGUGAAUAUUUAAGGAAGCCAGUCUGUCACCCCUUACUGCUAUGACAGUCAUAUCCAAGGUCCUUGGUACAAUGUAUUUUUUCUCCUCCCUCCUCCACCCCCUUCAUUUAAACUGUACCUAUACUUCUGGUUGGAAAAUCAACAUAGAAAAACAAAUAAUAAAGUAUGAUUGGUGUCAGAGGUGCUGUAUACAGAAGGGCUACUGUUUGUAGUCUCCAUCCAUUGUACCCAUGGGAGAUAAAAUGUCGGAGUCCAAAUAACUCCCCUUAAGUGUGUUUCUGGGUAGAGGUCCACCCACUCCUAUACAAUAGUUUAAACAAACUAACCAUGAAACGAAGAGACUUGACAGAGUCCAUUGUUGUUUUAAAGCUAACAGACUACCCUCCAUGCCCACCUCACACAGUGAAAACCAAUGUGAAGAAAAAUACCCACACUAACCUAAUUGGAGCAAAUACUCCAUUGUUUUCUCUCUGAAGGAGUGAGGUUGGUCCACAAUUCUGAUCCACUCACGCUUUUCCGGGAGUCCGAAAAUAAAAUGAUACAAGAGAUUUCUUGCUAGAGAACAAGUUUUCCAUUUCCAUAACAUAAGAGUCAAAAAAUAACAGUUUUAACAGAAUAAAUGUUGGUUUGAUGAUUAGUUCCAUAAAUGAGUGACUGGUGGAUCACAAGUCAGAGCAUUGAAAAACCAUUACUGAUUUUAUUACAGGCAACGUGAUUAUGAUGAGAGUAAAUCUUAAAUAUUGGGUUUAUAAACUUACCAAUUUCAUGUAUAGUUGUAACUUUUUACUAAAAAGGUAGAAUUAGAAGCACAAUGAACGAUUAGAUAAUCCAAGGUGUGUGGUGUGUAGCAAUUAUUAAUAGGUAUGGAAGUGUGACUAGAAUUUAAUCUGAUUAAUUACUUUUAGGUAAGAGCUUCCCAUAUUGCCUAGGCUGUAUUCGAAGUUGUAGAGUCAAGUAACCAAUCUGCUUCUGCACCCCAGGCAGCUACCAUGUUUGGUUCUGAUUUUUAAUCUAUAGAUCUGUAGAGAAAAGGCACACUAAAAUAGAAAAGGUUGUUCAAGCUUCUAUUAAACUCACUGCCUUCCAUACAUCACAGGAAUAGGAUUCUAUUCACUUUCUGCUAUUUGAGACAGGUACCACUGUGGACAGCUCGAAAUUUGGAAUCCUCCUGCCUCAGCUUCCCAGCAUCCCCCAACCCCUUCUAUGGCUCCAAGAAAAGAGCAGGUUGAAGUGGUCUGAAGGAAGGAAUGGGCACGGAAACACAGCUGCAACGGAUUCUUCUGUCCUUAGCAUGUAGGAUGCUACUUGACACAAAAUAUUUUCAAAAAGAAGGGAUAAGAAGAACUGAUAGAAAAAUGCUGAUGAGAAGAGAGGCUUCUGAGAGCAGAGAAAACCACACCGCAGAGGACCGAACUAACAAAAAAAAAAAAAUGCUAUCUGGGUGCAUCCUGCGACUAAAAUCGUCAUUCACUGAACUAAAAACAAGGGACCCGGUAUGGGCAAACAGGAGCAUUCAAGACCUAACACCUUCAUCAUCGGCUAAAGAGCACUGUGCUAGAAUUUGGGGCCACCACUCCAUUAGGAGGUCUACAAACUUUCGAAACAGGAGGAUCUUCUGAAACAAGAGGAUCUCGUGAGAAAACAGAUUUUUGUUUUCCUUGAAGGACACCAGAGCCUGAAGAAGCACCCGUUCAGCAGGGCCUCUCAGCAGUGGGAGUAGAUGUUGGUUUGCUCAGAACGAACGUCCAGAUCCCAUUUCCCAAAACAGUUUACAUGCUUCCUACCUCCGUGCCAUGUGCCUCCAAACCUCACCUCCAUCCCAAGUGCUUUCCCUCGUGCUUUUUUUUUUUCCUUCUUUUUAAUUCGAGUUCUCACAGCUAGUAUUAUUAUUUUUAGGGCUGCAAUCUCCCAUAGUCCUUAUUUUCACUCAAAAUUACAAUACAGGGGACUAUGGCCAAUGCUAUGCAGAUGGCCAAAUAGAUAAUAAAGACUCGGUUCAUGAAUAAUACCCACUCAGAAAGAGGACAAAAGCAACAGGAAAAAAGACCCAAAUUGGACAAAAUGUGCAUGCUAUAUUUAAAAAAAACCGCACACGCGAUCAUUGUCAGAGAUCAUUAAGGGUGCCCUGUAGUUUUAAUUAUGUGCCAGUGCACCAAUUUGAUGGGAGUGUUUGCUCCUAUAGUCAAUAAAAAAAGUCAUAACUGCCAUCAAAUUUAAAUUUAAUUUAUUUUCUACACAGCCCUUUCUGUUUUCCUUGUUUUUUUUCCUUUUAUAACAUUAACACUUUUUUUGUUGGAAAAUGUGUGAAAGAUUAAUUUGUGGAAUGAGGGAGCCGUGGGUGCACAGCAAAGGACAGAUGGAGUGGGUGGGACAGUUUUUGUCUGUGGCAUCAUUUUGUUGUCGCUAUUGCAAGGGGAAGAGAACUACUGCUACCACCAUCCUUUCUUUGGGGUGUGUGUGGGGUUGGUCGUGCCCAGAGAAGGUAUGCUGCUCUCACCUCAUGCUGGCCACUGUCAGCUCAGGGCACAGGCGCCUGCCCCCUACCCCGGGUAUUACCAAGUCAUGAUCACUUUCAUUUCUACAACUGAGAUUUACAUGGAAUCCCACCCUACUUUUGUAAAAGGCAGAGUGAGGCAGAGUUGUGAGAUGAGUAUGCUGAAAUAAAGUCACGAUUUACCUCCUCCAAACGCUGUACCGUAAACUCAAGUGCACACAGGUCUGGUGAGGGUUAUCAUUUAAAUUUAAAUGUUUGGGGCAGCAGUCAAGAUUCUACUCGUGUCGAAGAGAGUCUUUCUCUUUUUUUUAUGUCAAAAAUCACCAUGUUUAAUUUUCUACUUGAUUUUUUUUUUUUGCCUUAAAGCAGCCCUGAUUUAUACAUAAGUGUUGUGGGGUUCGCUGUUGUAAAGUUUCUUAUUGAAGAAGGCAAUUACCAGGGAAAAUCACUGUCAUGCGGCAGGCACGCAGACAUUCUGAGAAAAAGUAAGACUUGGAGGAGGAAGAGGGGAAUUCAGGACAGCGUGUGGGAGGGGAGAUGGGAGUUCUUUUUAUGCACAAAGAGACCCAUUAACAAAAUCCUUAUCUGUUUCCUUCCCCUUGUGAACUGAACCAACGUGCAAUGCCCAGAAUAUGCGAACGUGAUUGCAAAUAAAAGACUCGUGUGGUGAGGAGGAAAUG